CGAGAAAGCAGGAGCAAUCUUGUGAGUAAAGUGGCGUACGGGUGAGUAACACGUGGAUCAUCUACCCUCUUGUGGGGGAUAACCCUGGGAAACCGGGGCUAAUACCGCAUAAGCUCGAGAGAGGAAAGCAGCAAUGCGCAGGAGGAGGAGUCCGCGGCCGAUUAGUUAGUUGGCAGGGUAAAAGCCUACCAAGACUGAGAUCGGUAGCCGGCCUGAGAGGGCACACGGCCACACUGGCACUGAAACACGGGCCAGACUCCUACGGGAGGCAGCAGUGGGGAAUCUUGCACAAUGGGGGCAACCCUGAUGCAGCGACGCCGCGUGAGCGAUGAAGCCCUUCGGGGUGUAAAGCUCUUUCGGCAGGGAAGAUUAUGACGGUACCUGCAGAAGCAGCUGCGGCUAACUACGUGCCAGCAGCCGCGGUAAUACGUAGGCAGCAAGCGUUGUUCGGAGUUACUGGGCGUAAAGGGUGUGUAGGCGGUCCUCUAAGUUUGGUGUGAAAUCUCCCGGCUCAACUGGGAGGGUGCGCCGAAAACUGGGGGGCUAGAGUACUGGAUGGGAGAGUGGAAUUCCUGGUGUAGCGGUGAAAUGCGUAGAUAUCAGGAGGAACACCUGUGGUGUAGACGGCUCUCUGGACAGUAACUGACGCUGAGACACGAAAGCGUGGGUAGCAAACAGGAUUAGAUACCCUGGUAGUCCACGCCCUAAACGAUGCAUAUUUG
rnacentral:rRNA from 1 species